UGGGGAAUCUUGCGCAAUGGACGAAAGUCUGACGCAGCCACGCCGCGUGAGUGAAGAAGGCCUUCGGGUUGUAAAGCUCUGUCGCCCGGGACGAAAAAUAGUUAGGUGAAUAGCCUAAUUAUCUGACGGUACCGGGAGAGGAAGCACCGGCUAACUCCGUGCCAGCAGCCGCGGUAAUACGGAGGGUGCAAGCGUUGCUCGGAAUUAUUGGGCGUAAAGGGUAGGUAGGUGGUCUCAUUUGUCUGGGGUGAAAGCCUUGAGCUUAACUCAAGAAGUGCCCCAGAAACGGUGAGACUAGAGUCCUGGAGAGGGUCGUGGAAUUCCCGGUGUAGCGGUGAAAUGCGUAGAGAUCGGGAGGAACACCAGAGGCGAAGGCGGCGACCUGGACAGGCACUGACACUCAACUACGAAAGCGUGGGGAGCAAACAGGAUUAGAUACCCGCGUAGUCC
rnacentral:rRNA from 1 species